rnacentral:lncRNA from 1 species
GCCACUGCAUUCCAGCCUGGGCAACAGACUGAGACCCUGCCUCAAAAGAAAAAAAGAAAAAAAAAAAAGGAGAGCGCGUACUGUUGCGGAAGGGGCACUGCUCGAGAAACAGAGACGAAGGGAUGAUUUUCAAGUAAUCAAGACACCGAGAAAGACAAGAUUGGGGAUGGAAGAGCAAGUAUCGAGCUGUCGCCCAGGCUGGAGUGCAAUGGCAUGAUCUUGGCUCACUGCAACCUCUGCCUCCCGCGUUCUAAGUGAUUCUCCUUCCUCAGCCUCCCGAAUAGCUGGGAUUAUAGGCACGCACCAUCAUGCAUGGCUAAUUUUGUAUUUUUAGUAGAGAUGGGGUUUCCCCAUGUUGGCCAGGCUGGUCUCGAACUCCUGAUCUCAGGUUAUCCACCCGCCUCAGCCUCUCCAAGUGCUGGGAUUACAAGUGUGAGCCACCGCACCCCGCCCUAAUCUCAGCCUUUUUAUAUCUUCUUGGUAGGCCCACUUUUUGGCAUCCCCUAACAAGAAGUCCUCAGAGAUUUUUACUACUCAACAUGUGUGCGUCCCACUCAGAUGUAUUGUGUUCUUUCUGUUCACCCUCUACUUCCCAUUCCAUUUCUUCCUCUGACUUAGGGUUAGAAUGGCCCAAUGAUCCUACAACUUUUUGAUGCUAUUUCAUUUGAUUCCUCUACUGUCUAAAUCACAAGUUGGCUAACUUUACUUACUGUAAGGGAUCAGAUAGCAAAUAGUUUAGGCCUUGUGGGCCAUUCAAUCUGUCAUAACUACCCACUCUGACCAUAUGUAGUGCAAAAGCAGCCCUUGACAAUAUAUAAAUGAAUGAACGUGAAUGUAUUUCAAUAAAGCUUUACUUGUGGAC